CCUCUCGGUCCGGCGUCAGUGGGUUAUCGUUCACUCCCCUCGGGGAAUUUCCCAUUAGCACAACCUUGACCGCUUG
rnacentral:sRNA from 1 species